ensembl:lncRNA
GGACAGACAGGCGUUGUGUAGGGGGACAGACAGGCGUUGUGUAGGGGGACGGACAGGCGUUGUGUAGGGGGACUGACAGGCGUUGUGAAGGGGGACAGACAGGCGUUGUGUAGGGGGUAAGGGGACAGGCGUUGUGUGUAGGGGGACGGACAGGCGUUGUGUAGGGGGACAGACAGGCGUUGUGUAGGGGACCGACAGGCGUUGUGUAGGGGGACGGACAGGCGUUAUGUAGGGGGACGGACAGGCGUUGUGUAGGGGGACUGACAGGCGUUGUGUAGGGGGACAGACAGGCAUUGUGUAGGGGGACAGACAGGCGUUGUGUAGGGGCACGGACAGACGUUGUGUAGGGGGACAGACAGACGUUGUGUAGGGGGAAAGACAGGCGUUGUGUAGGGGGACGGACAGGCGUUGUGUAGGGGGACAGACAGGCGUUGUGUAGGGGGACGGACAGGC